GACGGACGCUGGCGGCGUGCUUAACACAUGCAAGUCGAACGGAAAGGCCCCAGCUUGCUGGGGUACUCGAGUGGCGAACGGGUGAGUAACACGUGGGUGAUCUGCCCUGCACUCUGGGAUAAGCCUGGGAAACUGGGUCUAAUACCGGAUAGGACCGUGCUUUAGUGUGUGCGGUGGAAAGUUUUUCGGUGCAGGAUGAGCCCGCGGCCUAUCAGCUUGUUGGUGGGGUAAUGGCCUACCAAGGCGGCGACGGGUAGCCGGCCUGAGAGGGUGUACGGCCACAUUGGGACUGAGACACGGCCCAGACUCCUACGGGAGGCAGCAGUGGGGAAUAUUGCACAAUGGGCGGAAGCCUGAUGCAGCGACGCCGCGUGGGGGAUGACGGCCUUCGGGUUGUAAACCCCUUUCGGCAGGGACGAAGCUUUUGUGACGGUACCUGCAUAAGAAGCACCGGCUAACUACGUG
rnacentral:rRNA from 1 species